rnacentral:rRNA from 1 species
GACAGAGGGGGCUAGCGUUGCUCGGAAUCACUGGGCGUAAAGCGCACGUAGGCGGCUUUCUAAGUCAGGGGUGAAAUCCUGGAGCUCAACUCCAGAACUGCCUUUGAUACUGGAAAGCUUGAGUUCGGGAGAGGUGAGUGGAACUGCGAGUGUAGAGGUGAAAUUCGUAGAUAUUCGCAAGAACACCAGUGGCGAAGGCGGCUCACUGGCCCGAUACUGACGCUGAGGUGCGAAAGCGUGGGGAGCAAACAGG